rnacentral:lncRNA from 1 species
UCGCCGCUUGCCUCUUCGUCCGUUGGUCGCGGUCCACAGAAAAGAAUCCCCAUCGCCAGGAGCCCUGCUUGUAUCUCCACUUAAGGCUAGCGUCCAUCUUUGGGUGAGGUAGGAAGGGUCUUUAGGCUAGAAAUACUUCCAUACGUUUAUUGUUCUACCGAACUUCUAGGAUUGUAAUUUGAUGCGGUUUUUAGUCAAGAAAUUCGGGUGGCCAGCGCCCUCGUUCUGCGUUUGUGUAGAGUAUUGAAGUUCAGUAAGUAGCUUCCUGGUAGUUAUAUAUUUUUUUGAAAACUUAGUGCAGGAGCUCUGCUAUUUCAUUUAAGGAGAGAAGGGAAACAAGAGUCUUAAAAAGUUGCUAUUACAUAUAACGAAAAACACUCAAACACAAUCCAAAAAAGAGAAGACAUUAUACUACACAUGGAUGCCCAACUGCAGCUCGUCUCAACGCCAUUUCUUGUUUGGCCAGAUGAAAGACCACUUGUGUCGAUGCUUGCUUGCCCUAAAAAAUACGCCGAUUCCGCUCCUUCCAAAUAUUCCAGGUGAAGUACAUAAGCAAACCCGAAACAGUGAGUUGAUCUUCUUUCGAUUUGUUUUGGAGCACAACAGCCCACCACGAAUCGAAGCUCUGAAUAUCUGAGCUGGGCGGCAUGAUCAGAUUAUUGGUCCACGACCUGACUAACUCCCACACUUCCAAAGCAAAAGGGCACUUGAGACAAAGGUGAAUCGCAGUCUCCGGCUCUUGAUCGCAAAGGACACAUAGAGGAUUGCAUGGCCAAUUUCUUUGACUUAGUUUAUCUGCUGUGAGGAUCUUUGCUUGAAUGAGCAGCCACACAAAGAACUUAUGUUUCCCUUCGGCGUGCGCCUUCCAGAUAGAUUUUGCUUUGAAAGCACUGUAAGAGCCCUUGAAUUGUGCAAGAUAAGCUGAUUUGGAAGAGUACACUCCAUUCUCGGUCCAUAUCCACCGAAUGCAAUCUUCCUGGUCAUUGAGCUGCACCCCUCAAUAUGGUUCCACAAUUGUAUGAAUUCAGCCAUCUGUUGAACAUUUUCCAUUCUCCAGAGACCUCUCGUCCAAUUGAGGUUAACCAAUUGUUCAGCCACCGAUCUAUUUUUGCGCCAUGCCAGGGGGUACAAGCUAGGUGCAAUGUCAAUCGGAGCUUUGCCUGAGAGCCAAGCAUCAAGCCAAAAAUUUGUCUUCAGUCCGUUGCCAACCGUUACAGAUGUUGAUGCCCGGAACAAAGCUGCAUCUAUUUUAUCACAGGGUAUCUGAGAACCAGCCCACGGCCUAUUAGAAUCAGUCCAGUUGAGCCAAAGCCACCUGAGGCGCAAAGCACGGCUGAAACGCUCUAGAUCCAAGAUGCCAAGGCCACCCAAGGAUUUCGGUCUGGCAGAAUUGGUCCAAUUCACUAGACAGUGCCCACCAUUAGCAUUUUCAGCACCUCUCCAAAGGAAAGACCUCCUAAUUUUAUCGAUCUUCUUAAUGGCCCACUUCUUCAAAGGGAAAACUGUCAAAAAAUGCACCGGGACAGCCGUGAGCACUGAAUUUACCAGAGUCAGUCUUCCAGCUUUAUCAAGCAGCUUCCCUUUCCAUGCCGAUAAUUUACCAGCCAAUUUGUCAAGCAGCGGCUGGAAAUCCACUCGACGCAAUGGUCGGCAAGUUAAAGGCAGCCCAAGGUACUUGCACGGAAAAGCUUUGAUGGCACACGGGAAAGGCUGCAUGAUAUGCUCUAGCUGCAGCGAGUCGCAGCGGAUAGGAUAGACAGCACAUUUACUCAGAUUGACAGAUAAACCUGAGGCUUCACUAAAAGCUGCUAGGAUCUGAUUAGUGACUUGAACUUCUUCUCUGAUCGGGUUGAUGAAUAUGGCGGCAUCAUCAGCAUAGAGGCUGACUCUCAAUCUAGCAGAGCGGUGAAGAAUAGGGCUGAGCAGACCCUCCCGAGAAGCAAUGUCAAACAGCCUCUGAACAGGGUCGAUGGCAAGAAUGAACAGCAAGGGAGACAAGGGGUCCCCCUGCCUCAAGCCCCUUCCAUGGUUGAAGAAAUUCCCUCUGACUCCAUUAAUCAUUACUGCAGAGCUAGCUGAUCUGAGCAGGAUGGACACCCAAGCUUUCCAUCUAUUUCCAAACCCCAAAUGAUGCAGGACCUCAAGAAGGUAGUCCCAUCUCACACUGUCAAAGGCCUUAGCAAUAUCCAAUUUCAGGAACAAAGUAGGGAUUUUUGCUCUAUUCAGCUCUUUAAUUAAAUUUUGCGUGAACAGGAAAUUAUCAUGUAUGCUCCGCUUCCGGAUGAAAGCACUAUGGCUUCUGGAUACUAGAUGAUCAAGACAGGGUGCCAGGCGGUUAGCCAACACUUUGGAAAUUAUCUUUGCUAUGCUGUGUGUGAGGCUGAUGGGUCUGAAGUCAGAAAUAAGUGCUGCCUCGUUGUUCUUCGGGAUCAGACAAAUAUGUGCAGAGUUAAGUUUGUUGAAGUGUUGGUCAUGCAUAUGAUAGAAAUAAUUCACAGCCAGCAAUAAAUCCUCUUUGACAAUUGCCCAAGCAGACCGAAAAAACACUCCAAUAAAGUCGUCUGGUCCAGGCGCCUUCUCAGCAUGAAGAUCAUUUAUCGCUGCUAGAACUUCCUCUUCAUCAAAAGGAGCCUCCAAGUGGGAAAGGUCAGCAGCCUGUAGCCCAAGAAAUUCCCAGUUCAAAGAGUUCGCCCGCACAGGAGAAAUGCCCAAUAAAUUGCUAUAAUGAUUGAAAGCGAGCUGCGCUUUAUCUUCCUGAGAGUAAACAUUCCCUGUCUCAGUUACAAAAUGCUGAAUGAAAUUCCUCCUGCGCCUGCCAUUUAUUCUGAGAAAGAAUAGCCUAGAAUUUGUGUGGGCUGCUUUGAUCAUUGUCAACCUGGACGCUUGUCGCGCCCUGAGUUUUUCUACCGCUGCGAGUCCCAAAAAUCUGUUUUGAGUUGCUUAUGUAACGUAAGCUCAAGGUUGCUUAGGGGUAUGUAAUCUUGGACCACAUCAAAAAUCCAAAUCAGUUGCUUAGCCGCAAGCAUCAGUAAUUUAUUAUUCCCAAUAAGAGCCUUGGACCACUUCCUGAGCGCUUUAGCAGUCCUCUACAGCUUUGUGUGCAAUCUUAAGAAAGGAUUAAAAAUUGUGAGCUGCCUGUUCCACGCAUUUUCCACCACAUUGCUGUAGCCACUAAGCUUUGGCCAAAAAGAUUCAAAACGGAAUCCCUUGUAUGGGCGCCUCAAGGUGUCACCAGAUAAAAACAGUGGACAGUGAUCAGAUACUAAGGAGGAUAGAGCCUGAACGGAGCAGCUAGGGAGCAUGAGGUCCCAGUCAUUAGAGCAGAAAGCUCUGUCGAUUCUAGUGUGAGUCCUAGAAUUAGUCCAAGUAAACCUCCUCCCUCUUAGGGGCAGCUCCUUCAGUUCUAGAUCAUUCAACACAGAUCUAAAGGCCCCCAUUAACCUCUUAUUUAAAUUGUUGUUGCUCUUAUCCUCGGCACUGAUGAUUAAAUUGAAGUCUCCAAUAAUUAACCACUUCUCUGCGGAGAUGCUACCCAGCUGCCUAAGCUCAUGCAAAAACUCUAACUUAUGAGCGUCGAGCUGCGGCCCAUAAACAACAAUAAUCCACCACUCGCUAGGUACACAGUUGGACUGAAUCAAGGCAGAAAUAAUGUUGCUUGUACAGGCUGUCGAGAGGAUCCGGAAGUAACUGGCAUGCACAGCUAGCAGAAUGCCGCCCCUCGUGCCAUCUGCGGGGAGAAAAGCAAAAUUCUGAAAGAAAUCAGGUCCAAGCGUCUCGGACACCACGACGUUGUCAACCUGCUGCAGUUUGGUCUCUUGUAAACAGGCAAUAGUGCACCUCGUAUCCCUGGCCAUAUCUAAAACCACCUUCCUCCUGGCACUGUUAUUUAAACCCCAGACGUUCCAGUUAAGGAUUGAGCAGUUUUGUGGAUCCAUGAGAACCAGAACAAACACAACACAACAAAUGGAAAACCAGGGACCACCACAAACAGCUGAACAAAGCUGUCCACCUUGCCCAAGCAAGGCACACCAAAAGUAAAGAUAUCACAAAAGCAAGUACUGAGGGGGGCACAUAGGGAAAGAUUAUUACACAGGUACACAACCGAUCAGAUUAGACCGUCCCCAGGACGGCUAACGGCGCAAGCGGGUCAGAGUCAAUUGAAUCUUCCUCUCCCAAGCUGAAAAGUGAUUGAUAGCCAGCAGCAGCUUCUACAUUCAGCUCAUCCACAAACUGUGCUCUGAACCUCGCAUGAUCUUGUUCAUUUGGUUCAGCAUGAUCAGGAAUAGUGCCACUGCGCUUCAUCAGCAAAGCAGUGGCCUGCUCCUCCAUUGUGAGGUUGGAUUUAGGCUUGCUGGCGAUUCUGGCACUGGAACGUGUUGCCAUCUUUUUCAUAGUCGAGGCACGCUUAGUUUUGUUGACAGGGGGCAGAGGGGUGGGCAGGACCGCCGAUGGUACGGGGGAGAGUAAAGAGGCAAGCACAUCCCUGUCCCCUUGAACUGCCACCGCACCAGCAACAUCAACAGCAAUAACACCAGCAUCAUUAGAAGGCCCGGACUCAGAAUGUGGGGGAGCAUUGUCAACCACAGCUGUAACCAUGGAAACAUGGGCAGGGGCCAGUGCAGCACCCCGCACCUCGUCCAACAUGGGGUCGCAAGAUGAAUCCCAGAUUACCGGAGUGCUUGAAAAAGAGAGCAGGAUAGGGUCGUGUUGGAGGACCAAGCUUGACUUGUUAUCAGUAUGUUCUGCAGCCCUGCGAAGAUUGCACGAUUGAAGCACCUUCAUCAUAGCAGCGAUGAUAGCACGUCUGAGCAGAUCAUGCUCAACACAGACUUCGCAAUGAUCUGCACGACUGAGCAGAUCAUGCUCAUAAACCGUCAUAGCAGCGGUGCACAGGACGCAGGCCUUCACGCCCUUCGUGCGGAAACCGGCCGCUCCUGACGCAAGCUUGGGGUCCUCCAAUGGGGUGGUGGUGAGGGGAGGCGCAAGCUGGGGAGAUGCAGGCCGGCAGUGCGGCGAAAUGCGUGGAGGAGAGCAAGGCGGAGAUGUGCAGGGAGGUGGGGGCGACGGCGAAUCUGAGCGAGGCGAGGCGGAGGAGGAGCGCGGCGGCAGGUGGCUAGGUUGCGGCGACAAGGGAAAAUCGGAUUGAAAUGGAGGACGGGCACAGUAGCGAGCUUUGUGGCCAGAUUGGCCGCACAGGAGGCAGCGCGGCGGGUCACGACAACCAGAGAUGCGAUGGUCACGGGCGAAGCAGUUGAAGCAUCUCCUGACAGCCUUCGACUUGAGCAGGGCGUUGAAGUCUACAAAGCGGGGACCCAGGCGGUCCCGGACCGGCGUGGCCCGCCGUGCAGCAGGAGGCUCCAGCGGACCAAGCCGAGAAUGCACGGGAAGACGCUUCUUCCUCCACCAGUAACACGGUCUGACCUCGUGCCAGGUAGCGCCGCCGCCCCGGGGCGGAGGCCGCAGGGGCUGUUGGCCGCCAUUACUGCCGGAAGGAGCACCAGCAGCCACAUCCUUGAAGGAGAGACCCCGGUUGUCAACCAGCACCGAACGGAGACGCGGGGCAGCCGGCUCCUUGUCCUUCACGUGCGCAGGUAGACGAGCAGCCAGUGCUUCAUCCACGGAUUUGGGGGUAACCCGAGCCGCGUUAGAUCUGCUAGCAGGGGCGGAGGACGGUUCACCUGGGCUUGAGGAGUAGUGGAGGUCGAGCGCUUCAAGGUCAUUUGGGGUGGUGGGGGAGCGGGAGGGUGAAGGCUGGUGGCGCUCGGGGCGACCUCCUGUCGCCGGCGAGCGGGGCGGGGAAAGGGAAAAAGCGAGCUUUGCGUUGCCCAUUAUCAGCCAGCUCCUGGUAGUUAUAGCUUGUUAUUGUAAUUUUGUAAUGCUUCGUAAUACCUUCCUUGCUAGUAGCAUAUACACAGGCAUUCAUAAUCAUGGCAUUUCAUGUAGAGUACCAAGAAGAAGUGAUUUGUGAAGGAGCCCGUUCCAGUUCUGCUGAUCAAGUGAAGGAGCCAUCUAACUGUGUAUUGGAUAGAGGGAUCUAGAGCCUCUUCACUGCAACAAAGGCAAGCCCCGGUGCAUUUACCCCUUCCUUGUAUUUUUAAAAAG